UGGGGAAUUUUGGACAAUGGGCGAAAGCCUGAUCCAGCAAUGCCGCGUGUGUGAAGAAGGCCUUCGGGUUGUAAAGCACUUUUGUCCGGAAAGAAAUCCUUGGCUCUAAUACAGUCGGGGGAUGACGGUACCGGAAGAAUAAGCACCGGCUAACUACGUGCCAGCAGCCGCGGUAAUACGUAGGGUGCAAGCGUUAAUCGGAAUUACUGGGCGUAAAGCGUGCGCAGGCGGUCCGCUAAGACAGAUGUGAAAUCCCCGGGCUUAACCUGGGAACUGCAUUUGUGACUGGCGGGCUAGAGUAUGGCAGAGGGGGGUAGAAUUCCACGUGUAGCAGUGAAAUGCGUAGAGAUGUGGAGGAAUACCGAUGGCGAAGGCAGCCCCUGGGCCAAUACUGACGCUCAUGCACGAAAGCGUGGGGAGCAAACAGGAUUAGAUACCCUGGUAGUCCACGCCCUAAACGAUGUCAACUAGUUGUCGGGUCUUCAUUGACUUGGUAACGAGCUAACGCGUGAAGUUGACCGCCUGGGGAGUACGGUCGCAAGAUUAAAAACUCAAAGG
rnacentral:rRNA from 1 species